rnacentral:rRNA from 1 species
GACAGAGGGUGCAAACGUUGUUCGGAAUUACUGGGCGUAAAGCGCGUGUAGGCGGCUUGGCAAGUCGGGUGUGAAAGCCCUGGGCUCAACCUAGGAAGUGCACUCGAAACUGCCUCGCUGGAGUGCCGGAGAGGAAAGCGGAAUUCUCGGUGUAGAGGUGAAAUUCGUAGAUAUCGAGAGGAACACCGGUGGCGAAGGCGGCUUUCUGGGACGGUUACUGACGCUGGAGACGCGAAAGCGUGGGGAGCAAACAGG